CCUACGGGUGGCAGCAGUGAGGAAUUUUGGUCAAUGGGCUUUCGCCUGAACCAGCCAAGUCGCGUGAGGGAAGACUGCCCUAUGGGUUGUAAACCUCUUUUGUCAGGGAGCAACGCCGGCUACGUGUAGCCGGACUGAGAGUAACUGAAGAAAAAGCAUCGGCUAACUCCGUGCCAGCAGCCGCGGUAAUACGGAGGAUGCGAGCGUUAUCCGUAUUUAUGGGGGUUAAAGGGUGCGCAGGCGGAAGGUCAGGUCAGCGUUAAGAUUUCGGGGCUCACCUCCGUCGUGCAGUUGAGACUGGCGUUCUUGAGUGAGGUAGAGGUAUGCGGAAUGCGAGGUGUAGCGGUGAAAUGCAUAGAUAUCAGGCAGAACACCGAUUGCGAAGGCAGCAUACAGGCGCUCAACUGACGCUGAUGCACGAAAGCGAGGGUAUCGAACAGGAUUAGAUACCCUUGUAGUC
rnacentral:rRNA from 1 species